rnacentral:rRNA from 1 species
GAUGAACGCUGGCGGCGUGCUUAACACAUGCAAGUCGAACGAUGAAGCCCAGCUUGCUGGGUGGAUUAGUGGCGAACGGGUGAGUAACACGUGAGUAACCUGCCCUUAACUCUGGGAUAAGCCUGGGAAACUGGGUCUAAUACCGGAUAGGAGCGUCCACCGCAUGGUGGGUGUUGGAAAGAUUUAUCGGUUUUGGAUGGACUCGCGGCCUAUCAGCUUGUUGGUGAGGUAAUGGCUCACCAAGGCGACGACGGGUAGCCGGCCUGAGAGGGUGACCGGCCACACUGGGACUGAGACACGGCCCAGACUCCUACGGGAGGCAGCAGUGGGGAAUAUUGCACAAUGGGCGCAAGCCUGAUGCAGCGACGCCGCGUGAGGAAUGACGGCCUUCGGGUUGUAAACCUCUUUCAGUAGGGAAGAAGCGAAAGUGACGGUACCUGCAGAAGAAGCACCGGCUAACUACGUG